rnacentral:rRNA from 1 species
GAUGAACGCUGGCGGCGUGCCUAAUACAUGCAAGUCGAGCGAACGGACGAGAAGCUUGCUUCUCUGAUGUUAGCGGCGGACGGGUGAGUAACACGUGGAUAACCUACCUAUAAGACUGGGAUAACUUCGGGAAACCGGAGCUAAUACCGGAUAAUAUUUUGAACCGCAUGGUUCAAAAGUGAAAGACGGUCUUGCUGUCACUUAUAGAUGGAUCCGCGCUGCAUUAGCUAGUUGGUAAGGUAACGGCUUACCAAGGCAACGAUGCAUAGCCGACCUGAGAGGGUGAUCGGCCACACUGGAACUGAGACACGGUCCAGACUCCUACGGGAGGCAGCAGUAGGGAAUCUUCCGCAAUGGGCGAAAGCCUGACGGAGCAACGCCGCGUGAGUGAUGAAGGUCUUCGGAUCGUAAAACUCUGUUAUUAGGGAAGAACAUAUGUGUAAGUAACUGUGCACAUCUUGACGGUACCUAAUCAGAAAGCCACGGCUAACUACGUGCCAGCAGCCGCGGUAAUACGUAGGUGGCAAGCGUUAUCCGGAAUUAUUGGGCGUAAGCGCGCGUAGGCGGUUUUUUAAGUCUGAUGUGAAAGCCCACGGCUCAACCGUGGAGGGUCAUUGGAAACUGGAAAACUUGAGUGCAUAUUAGGAAAGUGGAAUUCCAUGUGUAGCGGUGAAAUGCGCAGAGAUAUGGAGGAACACCAGUGGCGAAGGCGACUUUCUGGUCUGUAACUGACGCUGAUGUGCGAAAGCGUGGGGAUCAAACAGGAUUAGAUACCCUGGUAGUCCACGCCGUAAACGAUGAGUGCUAAGUGUUAGGGGGUUUCCGCCCCUUAGUGCUGCAGCUAACGCAUUAAGCACUCCGCCUGGGGAGUACGACCGCAAGGUUGAAACUCAAAGGAAUUGACGGGGACCCGCGCAAGCGGUGGAGCAUGUGGUUUAAUUCGAAGCAACGCGAGGAACCUUACCAAAUCUUGACAUCCUUUGACAACUCUAGAGAUAAAGCCUUCCCCUUCGGGGGACAAAGUGACAGGUGGUGCAUGGUUGUCGUCAGCUCGUGUCGUGAGAUGUUGGGUUAAGUCCCGCAACGAGCGCAACCCUUAAGCUUAGUUGCCAUCAUUAAGUUGGGCACUCUAAGUUGACUGCCGGUGACAAACCGGAGGAAGGUGGGGAUGACGUCAAAUCAUCAUGCCCCUUAUGAUUUGGGCUACACACGUGCUACAAUGGACAAUACAAAGGGCAGCGAAACCGCGAGGUCAAGCAAAUCCCAUAAAGUUGUUCUCAGUUCGGAUUGUAGUCUGCAACUCGACUACAUGAAGCUGGAAUCGCUAGUAAUCGUAGAUCAGCAUGCUACGGUGAAUACGUUCCCGGGUCU